rnacentral:rRNA from 2 species
UUGACCUCAAAUCGGGUGAGACUACCCGCUGAA